rnacentral:snoRNA from 1 species
AAGACCAUACUCGUUAGGAUCAUUUCUACAGUGUGUGUCCCACCUUAGUCUUCUACAAAAGACAACCGAUUCAGUCACGAUGAUGAGGAUGCCCUUUGCUCCUGAGCAGGAAACUAGCUACUUUAUGUAGCAUUGAUGACUGUUCACCUGAAGCUUCGUGCUGAUGGGAGGGAGCAAAGGCAGCCUGAGUGGC